GACGAACGCUGGCGGCGUGCUUAACACAUGCAAGUCGAACGGAAAGGCCCUUCUGUGUUGGGGUGCGCGAGUGGCGAACGUGUGAGUAGCACGUGAGUAACCUGCCCUUGGCUUUGGUAUAACUACAGGAAACUGGUACUAAUAACGAAUAGUAGCGCCUGCUGCAGGGGGGGGGUUGGAAAGUUUCGGCGGGUGGGGAUGGACUCGCGGCGUAUCAGCUUGUUGGUGGGGUAGUGGCUUACCAAGGCUUUGACGGGUAGCCGGCCUGAGAGGGUGACCGGCCACACUGGGACUGAGAUACGGCCCAGACUCCUACGGGAGGCAGCAGUGGGGAAUAUUGCACAAUGGGCGGAAGCCUGAUGCAGCAACGCCGCGUGCGGGAUGACGGCCUUCGGGUUGUAAACCGCUUUCGCCUGUGACGAAGCGUGAGUGACGGUAAUGGGUAAAGAAGCACCGGCCAACUACGUG
rnacentral:rRNA from 1 species